rnacentral:lncRNA from 1 species
GUUCUUUUGCCAACAGGAGCUGGUAAUCAGGAUGGCAGUGAGGCAGGCACUUGCUUGCAGAAGAACAGGCCUAGUUUUUUAAGAAGCCACAAAAGUGUCUUUGGAUGAUUAGGAUCUAAGGGGCCAACAGCUUUGCAAUAACAGCAUAAAUAUUGUGGGCUGGAUGGACAGGCACCAAAUGGGGACAUUCCAUCCUGCUGUGUGAUGAGAAAGCUGCCACUUUUGAGGCCUUCCAAAACAAAUCAACACUCCAUAUGCCAGAAGGAAAAGCCCAGGAAAGACCUAUUCCAACUGGAGAUGGUGAAUGUCAUUUCUUCAAGAAGCUGAGAUCCAGCUGGUACUGCCAGGUGGAGAGUGAGUUGGGUAGCUGACCUCGGGCAUGGCAGCCUUGGUUUUUGGCCACUUCAUGGGGUGACCUGUUGAGCAAACAGCAGUGGAAUUCUGCAGCUGUGGACCAAGAUGAAUACGAAGGGAGAAUGAAACAAAACUGCUCCGCUUAGGGAACUUGGAAAGGAAAUUGAAAAGGCAAGGCACAGGCUGGAAGAAAAUAUUUGAAAAAGAUUUAUGUGAACUUCUUUCUGGAUUAUACAAAAUAUUUUUAGAUAUUCUUACAACUCUAAAAUAAGAUAACUCCUUAAAAAUCUAAAUUCUACCAAAGGAGAGAUAAAGAUGACGAAUACAUUCAAAGAUGCUGAAAAUCACUUAUUUAUUAUUAGGAAGUUACAAGCUAAAGCAUAAUGAGAUACCACUACAACCUACUAAACUGACUAAAAUUAAUCAGACUAACCAGGUGUUGGCAAGAAACAGGGACACUGAGACUCUCACACUGCUGGAAGGAAUGUAAAAUGCUAAAACUUCUUUGGAAAUGAGUUCAGUAACUUUUUAAACAGUUGAAAAUAGACCUAUCAUGCAAACCAGCAAUCCCACUUCCAGGUAUUUAUACAAGGAAAAUGACAACAUAUGCCCACAUAAAGACUUGUGCACAAAUGACCGUAGCAGCUUUGUGAUAAUUGCUAAAAACUAGAAACUUGUCAAGUGUCCAACAGUUGACAUGCAGGCUGGACAUACAGUGGGCCUCGAUUGCUUAGAAGCCAAACUGAACUCACCAAGAAAAGAAGACAGGAGAAACUUCUCAAGAGGAAUAUCUCCAAAUUGCAGGAUCGAAUACCAUAAGAGGAAUUCUGGACUGAAGAGUUAUGAAGUCAUUUCAGACACUUCCAGACAAUUUGUGUUAAUUAAAUUCUCACUGGUUGAGUUCCAUUCUACACUGGAAGAGCAUUUUUCCUGGAAAGGCUCCUCAAAAUGUACCUUUGGCAAACACAGAGAGGUAUGCUCAUAGAAGAGGUGAGUUUGGAACUGCAAAUCCUCCCAGCCUCAGGACCUCUCUUUUGGUUGCCUGCUCUGCUACAAAGCUGGAGAUCUAAAGUGGAGGCGUGUAGAAGACACCGUCUGGCUGGACACCAUCAAGAGUCACCUCCUCAGUGAAGCCUUCCAUGGUUUCAUACCACCCAUCCCUAUCGGAAUGAAUGUAUCCUUGUUCUCCGUUAUCCCAGUAUUUUGCCUGGGCUUCUGUCACACUACUUUCAAUGUCUAUACCUCAGUUAUCGAAUCGAAAAACAAGAGUCAUCAGUCUCUAAGGUCCUUGCAAGCUUCAAAACUUUAUAUUUUUGUCAAUUACAACUGAAUAAAGCUGAACAACUUAUUAUUUAUGGAUACUUGCUCAAGCACCAUAUAACUCUUUCAGAUAUUUUAAAAGAAUAUGUUUGCAAAAGACUCCAAAUCAAUGUAUUAAAUUGAAAUCCAGUAUCAAAACACCCAUUAAAGUGCUCUUUUGAAAUUGUACAUUUUAUAUCAAUAAAAUUUCAAAAUAUAAAAACCUCUAUUUUACUUGUUGAAUUCUUAGGAAUAAUAACUAAACAGUUUUAAAAUAUUAGUAGAAAGAUGGUGUCUUUGAAAUAAGAAGAAUGGAGUUGGAGCAUAAGUUGCUUCUAGUUGAAUGACCUGGGCAUGAUUUAUCAUGUCUUUGCACCUCAGUUUCCCUAUCUGUAAAAUGGCAGUAAUGCUGACUUUACUUCACUAAGCUGUUG